CGACCUGUUGGAUUUCGACUAAGCAUCCGUGGAAUUCGUUGCUAUUAUUAAGAAGAAGAUUGUUUCAAGUGGAAAUCUGAAAUUAACUGGAUUAGAUGCUAGAGAGAUGCCACGAGAGAUAGAACACAUCCAAAAAUUCAUUAUAAUUAAAAAAACCAACCUUGAAACCAUAUUCGAAGAACCAAAACCAAAAUUAAAUCCAUAUAUGGGGAUUAGAAAAAUCAAAAGAUUGUUACCACUAGGAAAAAGCAGGACUUUAAGUGCAGAAAAGAAAAUGCUCCGGCGAUUAAAGGUUAUUACAAUGGGGAAAAAAUCAUUCCUAAAUAGAAAAAAAAUCAGUAUGGCGAACUUCAAGAAACAUUUAGAAGAACUCCAACUCGCUUCUCAGGAGGAAUAGCUUUUAAGAUAUUGUUAUUUAUUAUUAUCUUAUUAAAUUAGAAUAUAUGACUUAUUAGAUUAGAUUAAUAUUACAGUGAAAUUUGUCUUAUGACUCUUAUGAAAAUGCUCACGAGGCGUUGUGGAAUUGCAGAAAGAUCACAGCAAAAUGAGUAUUGUGUCUGUCUGUGGUCUUUCUGUGAUUGCCACAAUGCGUUGUGAGCAUUUUCUUAGGAGCCAUAACAUGAAUUUUGCAAUAGGGAUAACUGUCACAUGAGUUUUAUUAGGAGACAUAACAUGUAUUUUGCAAUAGGGAUAACUGUCACAUAAUUAUAAGUUUUUUGUCUGAAUUAAUUAAACUAUAAUAAUAUCA